UAUCUCUGUAGAGUCUGCAUAUCAAUAAGCGGAGGAAAAGAAACUAACUAAGGAUUCCCUCAGUAACGGCGAGUGAAGCGGGAAGAGCUCAAAUUUGAAAUCUUCAAGGUUCUACCUUGACGAAUUGUAGUUUAAAGAAGUGUUUUCUGUUGAAGUUUCGGUAAAAGUUCUUUGGAAUAGGACAUCAUAGAGGGUGAGAAUCCCGUAUUUGACCAUUACUUUCAGCUGUGUGAUACACUUUCAAAGAGUCGGAUUGUUUGGGAAUGCAGUCCAAAAUGGGUGGUAAAUUUCAUCUAAAGCUAAAUAUUGGCGAGAGACCGAUAGCGAACAAGUACCGUGAGGGAAAGAUGAAAAGAACUUUGAAAAGAGAGUUAAACAGUACGUGAAAUUGUCAAAAGGGAAGCGUUUGACACCAGUGUUGUUUUCUCGAAAAUCAAUUAAAAAAAGUUGGAUUUUGUAUUGUUAAGACCUUAUCAGCUUACUGUACUCUUUUCUUGCUUUUUUUAAUGCACUUUUCGUUUAACAAGUCAACAUCAAUUUCUUUUGUUGUAAAAGAGUCAUUGGAAGGUGGCUUUCACUUCGGUGAAAGUGUUUAUAGCCUUUGGCCUCUGCAAUCGGAGAGAUUGAGGUCUGCAGCGUAGAUCCUUCGGGGUUAGAUACAUUUGUGCUAAGUUAUAGCCUUUCAUAGACAACUUGUUGACUAUGAUCAGUCAUGUAGCUUACUCGCUUAUGCUAUUUUACCUACGCUUAGGAUGUUGAUAUGCAUGACUGAUAU
rnacentral:rRNA from 1 species